UUUAAUCAGUUGUUCAUCGGUGCCCGCAAGGGCUUGAUAGGGAAGAGGGGUGCAAAUCCCCCGCGGAUCCGCCGCUGUGAGCGAGGACGAAGGGCUUUAGACCACUGGCCGUAAAGGCUGGGAAGGUGGCCCCGAGGACGAUUCGCGAGCCAGAAGACCUGCCGGAAUGGACACCCACAA
rnacentral:ncRNA from 2 species